UACGUAGGGGGCUAGCGUUGUCCGGAAUCAUUGGGCGUAAAGCGCGUGUAGGCGGUCCGGUAAGUCCGCUGUGAAAGUCGGGGGCUCAACCCUCGGAUGCCGGUGGAUACUGUCGGGCUUGAGUACGGAAGAGGCGAGUGGAAUUCCUGGUGUAGCGGUGAAAUGCGUAGAUAUUGGGAGGAACACCGGUGGCGAAGGCGGCUACCUGGACCGGUUCUGACGCUGAUGCGCGAAAGCGUGGGUAGCAAACAGG
rnacentral:rRNA from 1 species